rnacentral:rRNA from 1 species
AGAGUUUGAUCAUGGCUCAGAGCGAACGCUGGCGGCAGGCCUAACACAUGCAAGUCGAACGGAUCCUUCGGGGAUUAGUGGCGGACGGGUGAGUAACACGUGGGAACGUGCCUUUUGGUUCGGAACAACUCAGGGAAACUUGAGCUAAUACCGAAUGUGCCCUUCGGGGGAAAGAUUUAUCGCCAUUAGAGCGGCCCGCGUCUGAUUAGCUUGUUGGUGAGGUAAAAGGCUCACCAAGGCUACGAUCAGUAGCUGGUCUGAGAGGAUGAUCAGCCACAUUGGGACUGAGACACGGCCCAAACUCCUACGGGAGGCAGCAGUGGGGAAUCUUGCGCAAUGGGCGAAAGCCUGACGCAGCCAUGCCGCGUGAAUGAUGAAGGUCUUAGGAUUGUAAAAUUCUUUCACCGGGGACGAUAAUGACGGUACCCGGAGAAGAAGCCCCGGCUAACUUCGUG